CCUCCACCCAAAGACACUGCCUCAUCUCUUCUUUGAUUCUCAUCUUAUCCCUUUCUCACGAAAGUGUUUACGUUCCUCGUAAGGAUAUUGCGUAAGGUGUUUUCUUCCCCCCGACUGCAACUGUGGUUUGUAUUUUUUUCUGACUCGAUCAAAUCUCUUCUUCAAAGUUGUUUGAUCACGCUCCAUUAGAGAAAAAGGUAAUUCCAACCCCCUUCCCAAGGUUCAAAGUUUAAUUGAGCUUAAAUAGAAUACAAUGAUGGGUUUGCU